rnacentral:rRNA from 1 species
UCCAGACUCCUACGGGAGGCAGCAGUGGGGAAUAUUGCACAAUGGGGGAAACCCUGAUGCAGCGACGCCGCGUGAGUGAAGAAGUAAUUCGUUAUGUAAAGCUCUAUCAGCAGGGAAGAAAAUGACGGUACCUGAGUAAGAAGCCCCGGCUAACUACGUGCCAGCAGCCGCGGUAAUACGUAGGGGGCAAGCGUUAUCCGGAUUUACUGGGUGUAAAGGGAGCGUAGGUGGCAUGGCAAGCCAGAAGUGAAAACCCGGGGCUUAACCCCGCGGAUUGCUUUUGGAACUGUCAGGCUGGAGUGCAGGAGGGGCAGGCGGAAUUCCUGGUGUAGCGGUGAAAUGCGUAGAUAUCAGGAGGAACACCGGUGGCGAAGGCGGCCUGCUGGACUGUAACUGACACUGAGGCUCGAAAGCGUGGGGAGCAAACAGGAUUAGAUACCCUUGUAGAC